AAACUUUCAACAACGGA
rnacentral:rRNA from 26 species